GACGAACGCUGGCGGCGUGCCUAAUACAUGCAAGUCGAACGCAGUGGGGACGGGUGAGUAACACGUGGGUAACCUCCCAUCAGAGGGGAUAACACUUGGAAACAGGUGCUAAACCGCUACUGAUGGAUGAACCCGGGGUGCAUUAGCUCGUUGGUGAGGUAACGGCUUACCAAGGCCACGAUGCAUAGCCGACCGGAGAGGGGGAUAGGCCACACUGGGACUGAGACACGGACCAGAGGCCUACGGGAGGCAGCAGGAGGGAAUCUUGGGCAAUGGAAGAAAGGCUGACCGAGCAACGCCGCGUGAGUGAAGAAGGUUUUCGGAUCGUAAGACUGUGUGGUUAGAGAAGCGGUAGCUAACCAGAAAGCCACGGCUAACUACGUGCCAGCAGCCGCGGUAAUAC
rnacentral:rRNA from 1 species